UAUGGAGAGUUUGAUCCUGGCUCAGAGUGAACGCUGGCGGCGUGCCUAAUACAUGCAAGUCGAACGAUGAAGCUUUCUAGCUUGCUAGAAUGCUGAUUAGUGGCGCACGGGUGAGUAACGCAUAGGUUAUGUGCCUCUUAGUUUGGGAUAGCCAUUGGAAACGAUGAUUAAUACCAGAUACUCCCUACGGGGGAAAGAUUUAUCGCUAAGAGAUCAGCCUAUGUCCUAUCAGCUUGUUGGUAAGGUAAUGGCUUACCAAGGCUAUGACGGGUAUCCGGCCUGAGAGGGUGAACGGACACACUGGAACUGAGACACGGUCCAGACUCCUACGGGAGGCAGCAGUAGGGAAUAUUGCUCAAUGGGGGAAACCCUGAAGCAGCAACGCCGCGUGGAGGAUGAAGGUUUUAGGAUUGUAAACUCCUUUUGUUAGAGAAGAUAAUGACGGUAUCUAACGAAUAAGCACCGGCUAACUCCGUGCCAGCAGCCGCGGUAAUACGGAGGGUGCAAGCGUUACUCGGAAUCACUGGGCGUAAAGAGCGCGUAGGCGGGAUAGUCAGUCAGGUGUGAAAUCCUAUGGCUUAACCAUAGAACUGCAUUUGAAACUACUAUUCUAGAGUGUGGGAGAGGUAGGUGGAAUUCUUGGUGUAGGGGUAAAAUCCGUAGAGAUCAAGAGGAAUACUCAUUGCGAAGGCGACCUGCUGGAACAUUACUGACGCUGAUUGCGCGAAAGCGUGGGGAGCAAACAGGAUUAGAUACCCUGGUAGUCCACGCCCUAAACGAUGGAUGCUAGUUGUUGGAGGGCUUAGUCUCUCCAGUAAUGCAGCUAACGCAUUAAGCAUCCCGCCUGGGGAGUACGGUCGCAAGAUUAAAACUCAAAGGAAUAGACGGGGACCCGCACAAGCGGUGGAGCAUGUGGUUUAAUUCGAAGAUACACGAAGAACCUUACCUAGGCUUGACAUUGAGAGAAUCCGCUAGAAAUAGUGGAGUGUCUGGCUUGCCAGACCUUGAAAACAGGUGCUGCACGGCUGUCGUCAGCUCGUGUCGUGAGAUGUUGGGUUAAGUCCCGCAACGAGCGCAACCCCCUUUCUUAGUUGCUAACAGGUCAUGCUGAGAACUCUAAGGAUACUGCCUCCGUAAGGAGGAGGAAGGUGGGGACGACGUCAAGUCAUCAUGGCCCUUACGCCUAGGGCUACACACGUGCUACAAUGGGGUGCACAAAGAGAAGCAAUACUGCGAAGUGGAGCCAAUCUUCAAAACACCUCUCAGUUCGGAUUGUAGGCUGCAACUCGCCUGCAUGAAGCUGGAAUCGCUAGUAAUCGCAAAUCAGCCAUGUUGCGGUGAAUACGUUCCCGGGUCUUGUACUCACCGCCCGUCACACCAUGGGAGUUGUGUUUGCCUUAAGUCAGGAUGCUAAAUUGGCUACUGCCCACGGCACACACAGCGACUGGGGUGAAGUCGUAACAAGGUAACCGUAGGUGAACCUGCGGUUGGAUCACCUCCUU
rnacentral:rRNA from 1 species